rnacentral:rRNA from 1 species
GACAGAGGAUGCAAGCGUUAUCCGGAAUGAUUGGGCGUAAAGCGUCUGUAGGUGGCUUUUUAAGUCCGCCGUCAAAUCCCAGGGCUCAACCCUGGACAGGCGGUGGAAACUACCAAGCUGGAGUACGGUAGGGGCAGAGGGAAUUUCCGGUGGAGCGGUGGAAAUGCGUAGAGAUCGGAAAGAACACCAAUGGCGAAGGCAGAUCUCUGGGCCGUAACUGACGCUGAGGAGCGAAAGCAUGGGGAGCGAACAGG